CAGAUAAGAACCUUUUGGCCCAUCUAAUCUGCCAGAUUUUCUAAAUACUCUCAUUAGUCCCAGGCCUUAUGUUAUAGCUAGAUUAGACUUAUGCCUCUCCCACCCUGUGAUACCUCUACCACUUCAGCUGGAAGGCUAUCCCAUGCACCCACUACCCUCUCAGUAAAGCAAUACUUCCUGAUAUUAUUUUUAAACCUUUGCCCCUCUAAUUUAAGACUAUGUCCUCUUGUUGUGGUAGUUUUUCUUCUUUUAAAUAUAGUCUCCUCUUUUACUGUGUUGAUUCCCUUUAUGUAUUUAAAUGUUUCGAUCAUGUCCCCCGUGUCUCGUCUUUCCUCCAAGCUAUGCAUGUUAAGAUCCUUUAACCUUUCCUUGUAAGUUUUCUCCUGUAAUCCAUGAACCAGUUUAGUAGCCCUUCUCCGAACUUACUCCAAAGAAUAAAGAGAGAAGAGACAGAAUCAAGAGAUUUGAGACAGAAUAAAGAGACAAAAUAAAGAGAUCUCAGACAGAAUAAAGAGAUGAGAUGAAAUGAAAAGUAUGCAGUUUGCAAUAAACUUUGUAUAAAAUAGUUCAUUUACAUUAAAUUUUAAUGGUUCAAAGAAUGUCAGGCAAAAUGGUUGGCCCUCACGCAUGUUCACUUCAUCAAAUUUGGCCCUCUUUGAAAAAAGUUUGGAAACCCAUGCUUUAGACAAACAAAAGGUUGUUCAUAAUGUAACAAAGGUGAAUGAAGAUUGUCUAAAAGAAGCUAUGAUUUGUG